rnacentral:rRNA from 1 species
UACAGAGGUCUCGAGCGUUAGGCGGAAUCACUGGGCUUAAAGCGUGUGUAGGUGGAUCGUUAAGUACCUUGUGAAAUCCCACGGCUUAACCGUGGAACUGCUUGGUAUACUGGCGGUCUUGAGCCACUUAGGGGCUACCGGAACAAAUGGUGGAGCGGUGAAAUGCGUAGAUAUCAUUUGGAACGCCAAUGGUGAAAACAGGUAGCUGGGAGUGUGCUGACCACUGAGACACGAAAGCCAGGGGAGCAAACGGG